CCCUCUUUGGACUUUCGCUUUCGGGCUUCCCCUCAAGGUUUUGAAACGCAUCAACUAGAGAGAGGUUUCUACACCCUUACAAGGAAUGCUUCGUUCCCCUCACCAACUGAUAUGAGAUCUCACAAU